UUGUAAAUUAAUCAUUUUAAACAUUUUGGCAGAUCCAAAAUGAAUGUUUUGUUUAUCUCUGUGGAAGAUAUCUGACGUUUGGUUCCCACUUCUAACAAGGCUUGGGAGCUAAUAGUAAAACAACAUUAGUAUCAUGUGUCUGAGUCUCACUCCACUCAAUCAUAUAAUAUGCAGGUUGUGCAACAAACUGGCCACCACUUGUUGUGAAGUGAAUGCAAUGGAACUGGGGGGGAGAAUGAGACAUCUAGUAGCUGAAUGUCAUCAAUAGCACCUUUAAAUUAGUUACUGCAAUACACCAAUA